rnacentral:lncRNA from 10 species
GGCGCGGCGUCGCGGAGCUCGGGCCGGUGGAAGGUUUACCUGCUAGGCUCGUCCCACCUGUGUGGAGCUCCCAUCGCCCUCCAGCGUUGCGCAGCCUGAAGGGACAGGACGGACAAGCGGGUGCCUCCUUCUAAUUCAUCUUCACCAUUGUGGUUGUCAAUAUGGCAUGCAGAAUUAUCCCUCUUUCCAGGUUUUCCCCAAGGACCCUGGACAAUGCUGGUUUUUCCUAUGUGCACCACCAAAGGGCCUAUCCAGCUUCUGGAGUCUACCUGGAUUCCUGGGCUCAUGGCCCCUUCCUCCAUCUUCAAACCAGCAAUGGAAAUGGAAAUGAAAGCAAAAUGGAAGGACGUGAGGUCCUUAUCCUUGGAGAUCCUAUGGAGUCUCCACAGACAUUCCUUGAAGAAAUCAGAUGGAGCUGAGCCUGACACUCUAACCGGUUCUCUGGGUGUACUGCAAAGGUCUAAUAAAAGGCACCUUUGCCCGGUUGCUUCAAUUCUAGGAAGCUGUUCAAUGUUUGACUAUAUUUCUCCAUACUCAUUUGAAAACAGUUCAUCAGGUUAGUUCAGUUGAAUUAUUGCUCCUUGGGAGUUUUCCAAACCCUGGAUUUCCUUCGGAGAGAGCUAGAUUCUAUUCCAUUCUUGGAAUUCAGCUCCUUGCCCUUCUCUGUGACCCCGGAUCGCGAAUGCAGUAAAAAUAAAAAUAUCCUGCUGCCUCCUGCACUAAGAAA